GGUUGUUAUUCUUUGCCACGAAGUACACUUCAGUUUCCUCAAAGGAGACAGGGAGGCUGCUGAGGCCUGGAGGCUUGGAUGCUGGAUGGAAGGGCUGCAUUUGCAGAGGUCACCCCCACUGGAUUUCACCUGCCGCCUGUGGCCAUGGA